rnacentral:rRNA from 1 species
AGCAGCCGCGGUAAUUCCAGCUCCAAUAGCGUAUAUUAAAGUUGUUGCAGUUAAAAAGCUCGUAGUUGAAUUUCGGGACCAAUCUGCCGGUCGUGCCUCCGGUACGCACUGGUUUUAUUGGUUUCUCCCUUCUGACGAACCAUGAUGUCAUUAAUUUUGUGUCAUGGGGAAUCAGGACUGUUACUUUGAAAAAAUUAGAGUGUUUAUAGCAGGCUCACGCUUGAAUACAUUAGCAUGGAAUAAUGAAAUAGGACGUUUGACCCUAUUUUGUUGGUUUCUAGGAUCGACGUAAUGAUUAAUAGGGAUAGUUGGGGGCAUUAGUAUUCAAUUGUCAGAGGUGAAAUUCUUGGAUUUAUUGAAGACUAACUACUGCGAAAGCAUUUGCCAAGGAUGUUUUCAUUAAUCAAGAACGAAAGUUAGGGGAUCGAAGACGAUCAGAUACCGUCGUAGUCUUAACCAUAAACUAUGCCGACUAGGGAUCGGAUGAUGUUAAUUUUUUAAUGACUCAUUCGGCGCCUUA